rnacentral:lncRNA from 1 species
ACUUUUAUAAGGCAUGAAGGGAUAAUCCUUCCUGGUGAAAUCUGAAAGUCCUUACCUUCUAGGUUACUGAGGUUUCGAGGUCUGGGCAGCCGAUUGGCUGUCUGAUGUGAGGUGGAGAAGAUGGGCCUGGUCAAAGGGGCAGCCUUUGGAUUGGAACUGGAUGCCCAGUCUGUCUGGGAGAAGGAAGGCAGUGAAGGGAAGGACCACGAAAAGGAGUGGCAGAAGACUGGCAGUCCCUUCACCCCACAGCCCUCUGCUUCAUUCUCUGGCAGCUGUCCCUGACCUUUGUGACAUCGAGGUCCCAGCCAAUCACAGCACUCACUCCUGCUGUCCCAACAGCCUCCAAGGCAAAUCUCUGGAGACUCCACCCACUGAGCUCCUCCCCUGGGGUUCUCUAAGCACUCUGAAUUUGUGGACAAAAGCCCCUUUACUACCAGCAUAACUACAUACUUCACUUUCACAAGUUGGCAUGCCUGGGUGAGGGCAAUUAUUUUAGUCAUAUGAGCUUCGAUUUCUGGGAGAGUCAAGUCAAUUCAGUUUUUGAGAGUGCUCUAUAUUUCAAGGGUGAAUUUAUAUCUGUUAUUUUACUUUAUUUAUUUAUUUUUGAGAAAGGGUCUCGCUCUGUCAUCCAGGCUGGAGUGCAAUGGCAUGAUCUCGGCUCACUGAAGCCUCCGCCUCCUGGGUUCAAGCGAUUCUUGUGCCUCAGCCUCCCGAGUAGCUGGAACUACAGGCGUGUGCCUCCACGCCCAGCUAAGUUUUGUAUUUUUGGUGUAGAGAUGGGGUUUCACUAUGUCGGCCAGGCUGGUCUCUAACUCCUGGCCUGAAGUGAUCCACCUGCUUUGGCCUCCCAAAGUGCUGGGAUUACAGAUGUGAGCCACCAUACCCGGUCAAAAUUUUUUAUUUUAAAUAAGUUAUGGAAAUGAUGAAAACAUUUCAUUUACAAAAUAAAUGUGGGCCGGGCGCUGUGGCUCAUGCCUGUAAUCCCAGCAUUUUGGGAGGCCGAGGCGGGUGGAUCACCUGAGGUCGAGAGUUUGAGACUAGCCUGGCCAACAUGGUGAAAACCCAUCUCUACUAAAAAUACAAAAAAUUAGCUGGGCAUGGUGGCACACACCUGUAAUCCCAGCUACUCGGGAGGCUGAGACAGGAGAAUCGCUUGAACCUGAGAGGUGGAGGUUGCUGUGAGCCGAGAUUGUGCCACUGCACUCCAGCCUGGGGACAGAGUGAGGCUCCAUCUCAAAAAUAAAUAAAUAAAUAAAAUUAAUGUAGGAAAUUUAGGAAGUUUGAAUUAUAAGAAAUCUAAUUUUGGUCUGGAAUAAGCCAAAAUAUUGUACUAACAUUUUUUAAAAAAAUAAACUAAUAAGGA